GACGUAGGGUGCGAGCGUUGUCCGGAUUUAUUGGGCGUAAAGAGCUCGUAGGCGGCUCGUCGCGUCAUCCGUGAAAACCCGCAGCUUAACUGCGGGCUUGCGGUUGAUACUGGCGUGCUUGAGGACUGGAGAGGAGACUGGAAUUCAUGGUGUAGCAGUGAAAUGCGUAGAGAUCAUGAGGAAGACCAGUGGCGAAGGCGGGUCUCUGGACAGUUCCUGACACUGAGGCACGAAGGCCAGGGGGAGCAAAACGGGG
rnacentral:rRNA from 1 species